UACAGGGGGGGCAAGCGUUGUUCGGAAUUACUGGGCGUAAAGGGUCUGUAGGUGGCCAACUAAGUCAGACGUGAAAUCCCUCAGCUUAACUGGGGAACUGCGUCUGAUACUGGAUGGCUUGAGUGUGGGAGAGGAAUGCGGAAUUCCAGGUGUAGCGGUGAAAUGCGUAGAUAUCUGGAGGAACACCGGUGGCGAAGGCGGCAUUCUGGACCAUAACUGACACUGAGAGACGAAAGACAGGGGAGCAAACGGG
rnacentral:rRNA from 1 species